CAUAUUUUUGUUCUGUCAUAUUUUCUCAAGAAACAAACAGAAAAAAUCCAACUACCCAGAAUCUUUAUUAACUGUUGGGUUUUAAUAACGAGUUCUUCAUUUCUAGUCUAUUAGGUAAUUCGGAUCUUUGUAACCCGAAUUUGAACUUGCUUCCUCCAUGUCCAAGAAUCAAACCCAGUACCUUCUACGUUGAAUAAAGAAGUAGCACCAAUAGUAGCUGUAACAGGCCCAAAUUCGCCCGGCCCAAAUCAAAUAAGUAAACAAUAAAUAAAACCAAAUUAAAAUGUCCAAACAGUCCAACUAAUAGAAGCCCAAAUUAAAAUUAAGUGCCUAGCCCAAUAAAUCAAAUCAACAUUACAAGCCCAGAAUCAGGCCCAAUAUUCAAUAGCCCAAAAACAAAGAAAAACCUAAACCCUAAACAAGUCUUUAGGACGAGCCUCAGCCGCCGCAGCUCGAGCCACUCCCCACGCGCGCAACUCCUCCGCUCGUGCCAAACCUCCAUGUCCGCACCUCUGCUCUCCGUACCUGCAAGAGACGCACAAAGCGCAGCAGAAAACAAACCACAAAACGAAAAGAGGCAGAAAUUGACAGAGAAAAGCAGAAAAUAAGAAAAUAAGAGAAAAAACAAAAAAAAAUUGUAUUGAUUUUUAUUUUAUUUUAUUUUCGGGUUAUAAAAACCCCAAAGUUGUAUCAUUUUCGGAGGAUGAAAAAUCAGAAUAGAAAACUCAAAAAAAAACACUAAAAGGUAGAUUUGUUUCUCUUUUUCCUGAGUUUUGUUCUUUUUCUUUUAUUCUGCUUUCUUUUAAUAUGUAAUGAAAACAAGUAAGGGGAGAGUUUACCUGCCUCGGUGACCCAGUCGGCGUUCUUGGCGGCUUCACGGUUACCGAAAGAACCUUGCAUGGUUCUAGACCGAGAACGACGCACAAAGGGGAGAGGGGAAACAAAGAAUUUCUUUUUUUAUUUGUUUUUCG
rnacentral:lncRNA from 1 species